rnacentral:lncRNA from 1 species
UCUUGUUUUUAUUUCUCAGAAUGUCUAAAAAUAUCACUACAACGUAAUUAGAUUAUAGAAACACAUUUUUGGGAUACUUUUGUGUAAGUGUCCCAUUUAUACCAAAACUUUUAAAAAAUUCUACUAAAGCCUAAAUAUAAAGCUCAAACUAAUUAAAAAUAAAAUGUUACUCUACUCAACCCAUCCUACCCAGCCCAUUCAUCCCAAUUACAAACAGAAAAAAAAAAGAAGAAAAAUCGAUCACCAUCUUUCCUUCUCCCCUCACUCAAUCUAUUGAAACCCUAGACGAAGAGCCCCUCGCUCUCCUCCUUCUUCACGCCGCAGCCGACGAGGGAGGGUUCCGGCGGUUGCUAAAUUCUUAAAUAAGUGUUGAUAAAUUAGCAGCAUUCUUUUUAAGUUAUGCCGACACUCUUAAAGUUUCACUAUAUACCUACUGACCCAACAUACAACAACACUUUUAAAAAGUGUAGGUAAUUUAGCCAGCAGCAAUUUUUUUUUGACUUGUACCAACAUUUAAAAGCGUCGCUAUAUAUCGUUUUUGUUGUAGCGUGUGUUUAUUGUUUAUUUCAGUAAUAUAUAAAAGAUAAUAUAUUUAAACAUCUUAUAUAUUAUAAAAAUGCUAUUUUAUUUAUAACAAUAAUAAUAAUAAUAAUAGUAGUAGUAAUACCACUACUAAUAACAGUAGCAAUAAAAAAUAUUAUUAUUGUUAUUACUAAUACUACCUAACAAUAAUAAUGUUAUUAUUAUUGUUAUAAAUGAAGCUGGAAUACUUUUAAUAGUAAAGA